rnacentral:lncRNA from 1 species
GAAAAAGAAACUGAGAUUAUAAAUACUUGUGGUUCAAACUGCUAAAUUUGGGGGUAUUUUGUUAGGCAGCAACAGAUAACUAAUACAAGGGCAAAGAUUUAAGGUACAAUUAAAGUUGCCGCUUGCAUGUGGGGAGCUCACUAUCUGGUAAAUGCUUCUGUUGUUGACCAUCACUGGAAAGUCAAGAUGUGAUACCAUCAUGUUUGUUAUUUCCUGAUAAAGGGCUCCCACAGUUUCCAAGCUUCAGUUUUGUUCCACCUAUUAUUUGUUUUUUCAUUUAAUUUUUGGAAUAAGUAAUACAUGCAAAUGGUACAACCUUCGAAAGGUACAAAAGGGUAUUAAGUGUCAGCCUUGGCCAGAUAAGGUGGCUCACGCCUGUAAUCCCAGAACUUUGGGAAGCCAAGGUAGGAGGAUCGCUUGAGCCCAGAAGUUCGAAACCAGCUUGGCCAACACGGCAAAACCCUGUCUGUACAAAAACUACAAAAAAUUAGCUGGGCAUGGUGGCACAUGCCUGUAAUCCCAGCUACUUGAGAAGCCGAGGUGGGAGGAUCACUUCAGCCUGGGAGGCGGAGGUUGCAGUGAGCCGAGAUCCCACCGGUGCACUCCAGCUUGGGCAACAGAGUGAGACCCUGUCUCAAAAUAAAUAAAUAAAUAAAAAAUAAAGUGUCAGUUUUCCUGCCUCCUUUUAACCCAGUUACCCAACUCUCCUACCCAAAGGCACGGGCCAUCACCAGUUUAUUGGUUAUCUUUUUAGAAAUCAUCUUUGUGUUUACAAACAUAUAUAUUCAUGUUUCUUUUUUCCCCUGGAACAAAUGACAGUGGAAUUUGACUUUCAAUGGCCUGUCUCAGGAAGAUGGUAGAUAUAUAACAGAUUGAAAUCUUACAUAGUUUCUGCAUUGGAUUCCUGCAUUGGAUUCCAGCUUUCAAUAGAUAAGAAAUUAGCCUGGCUAGGCACUGUGGCUCACACCUGUAAUUCCAGCACUUUCAGAUGCUGAGCCGGGCAGAUUGCUUGAACCCAAAAGUUCAAGACUAGCCUGGGAAACAUAGCGAAAUCCCAUCUCUACAAAAAAUGUAAAAAUCAGCUGGGUGUGGUGGCACAUGCCUAUAGUCCCAGCUACAUGGGAGGCUGAGGUGGGAGGAAUCACUUGAGCCCAAGAGGUCAAGGCUGCAGUGAGCUGUGAUCACACCACCGUACUCCAGCCUGGGCGACAGUGAUACCCUAUUUAAAAAAAAAAAAAAAAGCCUGAGAAAACAGUUGGAAAGGAAGAUAACAGAUUGCAUAACGAUCGGCCUGGAGUAGGACUUAGAGAAGCCAUCUGGAGUAUUGAAGACAUCCAGAUGAACUGCUUUUGAAGAAGCUUCCACAGUGGAGUAUCUUGUUGACCUUUGAGGGAAGGGGGGUGAAAAUAACAUAUUAGGAAAUGUCCUAGACAGUUGUUCCAGCCUUUUCUCCUAUUAUUUUCUAGCCAACUUCUCCCAAAGAAGGCUUCACAUUGUGAAAAAUAAUUGCUUUUUUCUUUCUUUUUUUUUUUUUUUAGUGACUUGGUUCCAGUCACUUUUAAGGAUCUAAGGUGACUCUGAGUUAGACAGGAAAUGAGUCCUGAGAACAGAUAUGAGGAGGAAAGAAAAGGGCUUGCUGUUUUAUUUCCCCUCCUUUCUCUCACCUCAGUGGGCAGAUCUGGGUGACUGUGGUUGAUUGUGUGGGUGGGCUCCCACCCUCCAAAACAAGUCACUCUUUCCCUGCCUGGCCCUGAGACCUCCGUCACUUGUCUUAACCUCUUCAUGUCUCUGUUUCUUUCCUGCAAGGUGAAGGUCAUUAAACGAGAUAAUUAAAAUUACUUUCAAGAGUGGUAGAAGCCUAAUUCACGUGAACUCACAUGAAUGCGAGGUGGUACUAUUACAGUCAUUACCUUUAAAAUUAUAGCAGCAUGCCCAACAAGACACAGUGGAGGCAAAGGGUCGUUGGACAGAACUCAGCUGAAUGCCAAUGUUAGUUUUGUUUCCUUAACGUGUAGUAUCGGUUCCAAAUGGAAUUGAAUCAUCAAGUAUGCUUACCUGGUUUAUUAUGCCAAGUAACAAGAUUGGCCAAUCCUUCUUAUUUAUUGUUCAGAAACUAUAGAAGAAAGCAGCCAACAAAUGAUGAUGGUUUUUCAGUGACUCAUGCCUCCUUUGAUUAGAAUCCAAUGUAGCCUACUCCUUAUCCUGGCAUCAUUACUAGAUAUUGCCUUUUAUUUUGACUAAUGGAGCACAUGAAUGGAUAGAUUUUAAAGAAAUGCCUAGGCUGGGGUUUAAAUAUGGUGGUGAUUGAUUGGGCUCCUAAAAAGGUGACAUUAGAGCUAGGACAGUAAGGUGAGGGGCUAAGCCUUGUGGCUACGGGGGAAGAGCAUUCCAGGUACAGGAACAGACACUGUGUGGCCCCAAGCUCCAGGACCAGGGAGACAGCAGGGUGGCUGUAGAUGAGAGGGAAAGAGAGCAGGUAGAUUUUGGGUUUUACUCUGAGAGAAGUGAGAACCCACUGCAGAGUUUCGAGCCGAGGAGUAACUCCAUCUGAUUACCUUUGGAAAGAAUCAGCCUGCCCUCCAUGUUGGAGCUAGACUGAAGGGCAUGCUGUCUGGGGCUACCUCUAAUCCGGGUGAGGGAGAACAGAGCUUCAGCCAAGCAGCUUGCAGGGAGGUGAGGAGAGGUUUUAGGUUCUGGAAACAUUUGGAAGGCAGAGCCUAGGGCUUACGGAUGAAUAGGGAGCAGGGUAGGAGGGAAGAUGAGACUCCAGCAUGACUCUAGGUGUUUGGCAUGAGCACCUGGGAGAUGGGGUUGCCUUUUACUGACGUGAGGAAGCCUGGGGGAUAAUGGAGUUAUGAGGGAAAUUGAGGGGUUCAGUCUUAGGUUUGAGUAGACACUUGAAGUUUGAAAUUUAGCUUCCUUUGGCUAAAUAUGGAAACAUUUGGGGGAACCACCCUCUUCUUGAAUAAAAUGCUAAUAAGUGCGUAUAGAAUGUCAGGGCCAAAUAAGAACCCUUGCAGAGUUCAGCUGCCUGCAGCAGUUGCUAAGGCUAGAAACUGGGCACCUUUUUCAAUGUUUUUCCUCCCAGACCCCCUGCCCGGAUGAAGUGAGUUGUAAAAUGCUGCCUCUGCCUCUGAAAGUUCUGCCAGAAAUCCCACCCUUUCUGUCUGCACCACCUUAUUAGCCUCCGCCUUUGGCCCCUGUUGCCAGAGGACAGUAAGGACUUUCUGCACUCUUGUCUUGGCCACAGAUUAACACCAUCUUUUCCUGGAGUCCUUGGUCAGGGUUAUCAUUUCUUUCUUUUCUUUUUUUUUUUUUUUUUAAGACAGAGUCUCGCUCUGUCACCCAGGCUGGAGUGCAAUGGUGUGAUCUUGGCUCACUGCGUCCUCUGCCUCCUGUGUUAAGAGAUUUUCCUGCUUCAGCCUCCUGAGUAGCUGGAAUUACAGGCAUGCACCACCACACCCAGCUAAUUUUUGUAUUUUUAGUAGAGAUUUGUUAGUAGAGCCUCUGCCUCCCGUAGUGUUGGAAUUACAGGCAUGAGCCACCGCUCCAGGCCUAGGGUUAUCAUUUCUAAAAUGCAAAUCUGAUUAAAACAGUUCAUGUUGUUGAGGCCCCAGCCUCUUUGCACAGAUGGAUCCUGCACUUCUGCUCCCCACCUCCUCACCUCUGCAGGUGCUUCAACUUCAGGAACCAACUCACUUCUUCCAGAAUAGCUUCCUAGGCCCCCUUCCCUGCUCUAUGUCCUCAUCGUCCCUGUUACUUCUCCAUCACAGCAGAGAGGCUUCUGUGCGCCGAAUUCCUAGGGUCUGCCUUACCUUAGACUUUAAGCUUCAUAGGGACAGGAGCCACGUUGCUCACCAGCAGCUGACUGAAUACCUGCCACGAGGUCGGGACGUGUUGUUUACUCAAUGCAUGGGAGAACUCAGAUGGCCUCUCCCUGCUUAGCACACAAAUUCCAAAUGCCGCUAGCACCCAAGGCCUUCCCAGCCUUGCCUCAGUCUGCUUUCCAGUCUCCUCUUCCAACUCUCUUCUUCUUCCUCCCCUGUCUACCCGCACUUUAGUAACUGAACUAAUCCUGUGUGCCUUCAGUGCUGCAGAAUAUUUGCCCCCAGGGAUUUCUUUCCAGAAAUGCCUUUCUCCUCUCACUUUCUAUCUCCCAAUCAGAUAGUGGCCCAGCUUGGGACUUGACCUUCAAGGCCAACUCAGCAUCCCUCCUGUCUCUCUCCAUCCCUGAUCAUCAGGUAUAAUUGACUGCUUUCUCCUCCACUUCUCCCGCUAGCAAUACUCACAGUGAAUGUCAUGGUAAGGUGUUUAUUUGCCACUGAUGGGCGGGUAGUAGAGGAACAAUGGAAUUUUACAUUUUAGGAGGCUUGUUCCUUAUAAUUAUCUUAGCUCUUUUAUAAAGCACUGAUAGGUAACAAAAUUACAGGUUUGAACUCAGAAAGCUUGCAAAGUUUUUGUUUUUGUUUUGUUUUUAGGAUAACUUUAGGGAGAUUUCUAAGUAUUGUAUAGGUUCAGUUAACCAACAUAACAUGUUUUUUAGGAGUAUAAACAUUAUAGAGAUGUCUGCCGACUAAUUAGUAUGUCGAUUGUAGUUUUAAUCGUGAAAAUUGGGGUGGGAACAGCUAAAGGCAGAGCUAACUGGUUUUUUCCCAGGUAUUUAUCAUGAGUUGUGUGCCUUAGGCUGUGUUCCCUUUUGAAUGUGGUUUUUCUGGUUGUUCUGACAGCACUGCUAAGUGUGCCCUUUGACAUUACUGGAGAACUAAUUUAUAUUGAUGGUGCCACUCAUAUCUUUGGAAACUGGAUAUGUUCUGAUCAGCUCAUUGAUUUCUAACCUGUAGGAUUACAGUAAAAUUUAGACCUGAGGCACCACCCAGAAACUCCUGCUGCUGUAUGUGGCCUGAAUGAAUCAAAAUAUGCUUGGACAGCUCAUUAUUUAACAGAAAACUCUGCCUUUGGCUUUUGAAGAGCAGAUGUCCAAAUGUAACUUGUCAGCCUGAUUUUUGGAAGCUUGAGCAAGGGGAACCUGGUUAUCUCAGACCAUUUCGUAAUUAUAAAGAAAGUGAAUUGAAGGAUCAGGAAGUAAGUGAAUUGAAGGAUCAGGAAGUAAGGGAAUUGCCUAACAAUAGGAGAUGCACCACGCCCAGUGCUGAGAGAGGUAGACUAUAUCACGCUUAAUAAAACUGUCUGAAUGAGUGAUGGACUACUCCCAUAUCCUCUAAAGGAGGUAGUCUGACUCCUACAGAAACAGCUCCAUUUUGAUUUUAGGAGGUGGUUGUGAUAUAAGACUUACCAUCUUAAUUCUGCCAUCAGUUGCAAUCAGCAUUAAUUGCAAAUCUCUUUCUGACAAAAAUUCAAGUCCAGGCAGGGUGCAAUGGCUCACGCCUGUAAUUCCAGCACUUUGGGAGGCUGAGGUGGGCAGAUCACUUGAAAAGGAGUUCAAAACCAGCCUGACCAACAUGGUGAAACCCUGUCU